rnacentral:rRNA from 1 species
UACAGAGGGUGCGAGCGUUGUUCGGAAUUAUUGGGCGUAAAGGGCGCGUAGGCGGGCGCCACAAGUCACUUGUGAAAACUCUGGGCUCAACUCAGAGCCUGCAAGCGAAACUGUGGUGCUGGAGUAUGGGAGAGGUGCGUGGAAUUCCUGGUGUAGCGGUGAAAUGCGCAGAUAUCAGGAGGAACACCGGUGGCGAAGGCGGGUCUCUGGGCCGAUACUGACGCUGAGGAGCGAAAGCGUGGGGAGCAAACAGG